rnacentral:rRNA from 1 species
ACGUAGGGGGCAAGCGUUGUUCGGAAUUACUGGGCGUAAAGGGCAUGUAGGCGGUUUAGUAAGCUUGGCGUGAAAGACCACGGCUUAACUGUGGGGUUGCGUUGAGAACUGCUGAACUUGAGUUACGGAGAGGGAGCUAGAAUUCCUGGUGUAGGGGUGGAGGCUGUAGAGAUCAGGAAGAAUACCGAUGGGGAAGGAAAGAUUCUGAUCGAUAACUGGCGUUGAGGUGCGAAAGUGUGGGGUUCAAUUAG